GCUGGCCACAGCCUGGUGGGACAGUGCUGCUAGUGAGGCUCACAGGCUCAGGAGUGAAGCAGCCCAGAGAAGAGUAAGGACAUGACCCAGCGCUGGCUGGUCUGACAGAAGAUAACACAAAAGCCAGGUGAUCAUUGCCCCGCAUGGGAGACGCAAUAACAUGGGAAAGUGAGAGGCGGAGGAAAGCAAGGCUAGUGAAGAACCCCAGCAGCUCGACUCCUACCGGGGGGACUUUCGCUCAACAAGACAGACGAAGGACUUUUCAACCUACCCCGUGUAUUUAAAGGAAAAGUAUUCUACUGGAAGGGGAGAUUCGCCUUUAACCAGUAUCCCCAGCUGUGGCACUCUGCUAAUAUUGUAGUCUACGCUACAUGAUCACAGAAUGAGACUGCUCUGUUCUCUCGGGAAGGCUGCCGAAAGGUUGAGUAGCUCAGAUAAGGAGAGAUACCGUCGUGUUGGCAUAAAUGUGAGAAGAGGGGCUUGUUCCAGCAUCUGCCAUGGGGGUGUCCUGUUACACAACCCUUUUGGAAGAGGAUACAGUGCCGUAUAAGGAACACAACUUCACUGCAGUCAACACUAGAGCCAAGUUUGUUUGUUUUUAAACUUGACUUCUGUCCUAAGAUCCUUUUCAUGAACUUUUACCCCAAUUCACACAAUCGUCGGAGCCAGGCAGGGAAACACUUUGGUGUUGAAACACAGCCAGUCUCCUUCCCUUCAGAAGGUACCAAAAAACCAGAAGGUCAUAGGGACACUCAUUACAGGACAAAUACUCUCAUUACAGAGGAGCCUGGCAGCAAUUUCCUGGCUACUGUGAAAAUGCUGAAAGCAAGACCAGCAAAGGCGAGUCUGCUAAGUUAUUCUGCUUGACAUCUGGGCUAAAGAAUUCACCAUAUAAGUAACCUAACUGAUAAGAGAUGAGGCAAUGUAAUCCUACCAGCAUCUGGUGCAAUGAAGAAGGCUCUUUUGAAGUCACCUCCUGAAGAGGUGCGCAUAUACUAAUUCAACCUGGAUUCUCCAAGGACCACCAGACAGAGAAAGGAUUUGUGGAUAAACACCCUGAGUUUAAACUGACUCUGGGCAGCCUUUCUGAUCCAGCAAACAGACAGGACUUCUGGUCCAAGGUGGACCCAAUCCUUGCCUUCCACUCAAGAGUGCAACAUCAAAUAUAACAAUGAGAUGGCAAACCGGACUGUUUCACACUAUACAUGCUACUAGGUAUGACAAAAGUAAAACCCACAUUUUCUUGUUAUCACCAACACAGCUGAUGGAGAGAAGUCAAGGUGGAGAGAAGUCAAGGAAAGACCAGGGAGAACAGUAAAAAUGUGAAUACCACCCCCAUGAUCACAAAAUGUUGGGAGAAGAAAAAAUAGACAGCUCUUGACGCAAAAACUUUAUUAAAAGAUCCUUUAAGCAUUCAUAUUUAACCUGUUCACAUUGUACAGCUGAUUCGUUUAAAAACACGUUAAAAAACAGAACAUUCAUUUCAAAUUAAGUAGUAGAUGAAUUAUGGAUUUUGAUUACACCAAAUAUAUACAUCGGACCAUGGAGAAUCUAAGUAGUCCCAAGGCAAACUAUGUAACAAGUUUACACAAUUGUACUUUUGCAUUUAUAGAGUUAUGACAUGCGAAGUUGCCACACUCAAAGCAUAAGGUAAAGAGGAAACCUUGUAGCUGCCUAUAUGAGGCAUAGCAGCUUCAGCAGCCAGUAACACACCUGUGCAGUGGAUAUCCAGUACAUUCAGCUAGUUGGAUAAAUGACCUAUUUAUCUAACUAACGGUGACAAACAGUUUGUCAAAGAUGAAGAACUAAUCUUAGUUAUUCUGUUUUAUUGAUCUAAAUUGGUUUCUAGUUCUGUAUUAACUGGAAAAGUCAAAAGCCUUUAAUUAUAGCAUUUCCAUCUACCAAAAGACAGAGGGUGGAAUCCUGACCCUACUGAAGUGAGUGGGAGUUUUGCCAUUGACUUCAGUAGGGCUAGGAUUUCACCCGGACUUCAUUUUCCCCAAACACAUAAUAAGCAGCAACCUCAGUACUUUGUUUUCCCCACCACCAUUACUUUGACCACAAAUUUUACUCCAUGAUUAUUCACAGAUUCAUACAUUUUAAGGUCAGAAGGGAUCGUUAUGAUCAACUAGUCUGACCUGUAUUUCACAGACCAUGGAACUUCACCCAAUUUCUGCAUCAAACUCAUAACUUGUGUGAGCCAGAGCAUUAUCUUUUAGAAAGAUCUUCAGACAUGAUUUAAACACUGCAAGUGAGGGAGAAUUCACCACAUCCCUAUCUAAGAAUCAGCAUUUCAUUCUCCACUUAGUUGGAGAAGAAAGAACAGUAGCUUGCAUUACUCUUGUGACUUCACUACUCAGCUUCUCCAAAGAUCUUGCCAAGGUUCUCCAGCAAAGAGAGAAGAGUGAGGCAAACGGAACUGUCCUGAUCUUCGUAGUAAAAAUAAAUUGCUAUGUGUAUGAUUUUUAAAAUACUGAAACAGUCUUUCUGCAUCCUAAGGGCUAGAUUGUGAUACACUUAGUGACAAUGAGUAGCACCUUACUCCACUGAAAUUGCUUUCUGCCCUAUUUAAAAUGCAUACUUGCAUCAAAAUUGGGCCCAGAAAACCAGUGAAGAGCAAAACAAUCCUUUGCUUUGCAGUUCACCUCUAAGAUACAGUUUAGUUUGUAAUACAAAAGCAACCUCCUGUCCAUUGAUAGAAUAGAUGCAUAUGAGGUAAAAACCCAGCGAUUCCAUUUAAUUCAGUUCACAAAACGUUUGGGUAUAUAUAGUUAGUCCUGCACUAAAAGCCUCUUACAAUAGGCAACUGCUGUCAUAAAAGGCCACUGUAACUACAGUGGCACAGAUUUUCAGAUCAAUUUUGUUCCUACAUUUUAGAAGAUCCCUUCUAUUAGGCCACAGAUUUUUGCUGGUCCCUUGGGGCUUAAGACCAGUUUCUCUGUGUACAUGUUAGGAGCUGCCAGAGACAGCAGGAGGCUGACAGACUAGAAUGUAUUGUUUUAAAACGCGUUUUGGACGUAGAGAAACACCUGAGUCUGACUUGGACACCUUGAUAUUCCACAUAAGCAGAUAGCUGGCUAAAAGCUAGAAGGAGACUGUUAAUUUGAUCCCUAUACACUAUCAGAAUGCACCUCUUCCUUCCCUCUGACAGGCUCUAAGCCACCAAAUUCACCUU